AAGAUCCCACAUAACUUUAAAAAAACACACACACACUAAAAGAGCUUUCUUCCACAGCAGAUCGUUUGGUUUCACUGGGCACGAGCCUCAGUAUCAGAUCCAAAGCAAAGGGUCAUCACACCAAAUAUUGGAAAUAAAGUGUCCUGUAUUACUGUUCA